AUUUUAUGCACUUAGCCUCUCAGACUUGUCAUUAACCUUGGGAAUUUUUCAAUACAUUCAAAACUUGAAUCUACUCAACAAAAGGUGAACUUCAAGCUGUGAAACGCUUGUGGAAUGUGGUUUACUAUAACAGCAUCAAAACAUUUUUCAGAGAUCAAAAUUUGUUCGUAAAUCAUCAUUGUCCAGUCUUCAACGCUCGCACGAAAAUACCUUAAUGUGUUGGUCUUGGUCUUUGAUGAACAAUUUGGCAAUAUUACAAACAAACAACCAUUACGAAACGUAUUGCAUAACUAAAAUGUCGAAAUCCCAUGACCUCAAGGGACAGCAAAUUACGAGUCUCCCACAGUAUCGAGUCGAUCUUUGUUAUUCUCCAGUCCUAUCCUCACUAAAAGUUCAAAAUCUUCACAGCAUGUGCUGUAAAUGGCUUACUUCAUUCUAAAAGUAAAAUAUACUAAUCUUUCCAACAUACAUUUGUUUACGUGUGCGGAUACAGUUCGAACUUUUACAGUUAAAAGUAAAGUUUUUACGCACAUGUUCAUAUUAUGUCGCACGUUUAUCAAUUGUCAUUGAUUUUCAACAGUCUAGACAGUAAUGGCUUUACUCUAAACUGCCACAGGGAAGGUUUAUGAACGCAUGCGCACUUGCAUAUUUGCUUUCAGCCUGUGUAUUAUAUAUCACAAAUCAUUAAAGAAAAAAAUUCAUUAA